rnacentral:rRNA from 1 species
UAUAUCGGAACGUACCCAAGAGUGGGGGAUAACGUAGCGAAAGUUACGCUAAUACCGCAUACGAUCUAAGGAUGAAAGCAGGGGAUCUUCGGACCUCGUGCUCCUGGAGCGGCCGAUAUCUGAUUAGCUAGUUGGUGAGGUAAAGGCUCACCAAGGCGACGAUCAGUAGCUGGUCUGAGAGGACGACCAGCCACACUGGAACUGAGACACGGUCCAGACUCCUACGGGAGGCAGCAGUGGGGAAUUUUGGACAAUGGGCGAAAGCCUGAUCCAGCAAUGCCGCGUGAGUGAAGAAGGCCU